rnacentral:lncRNA from 1 species
AUCUCAUAAGUCCUAGUUCAACUGACAAAAAUGCCGAAAUCGUUAGGUUGUACGUUGUGGUCAGGGUUCGAACCCGAUACCUCCACUUUGCGUGUGUGAAUUUAUGAUGGCUUUAUCAACCCGUCUAUCUAAAAAAAAGAUUUUCCCAGUAAUCAGUCUAAGAAAAAAAUAAGUAAUCAGUAUCAAACGUAUAUUCAAGCACUAAUCAAUACCUAAAUUCAGCAAGCUUCCAAAAUGAUAUAAUUAUUUGGCAACAAUGCAUGCCCUUUUAUCAAUAUAAGAAAGAUUCUUU